UACGGGGGGGGCAAGCGUUGUUCGGAAUUACUGGGCGUAAAGGGUUUGUAGGUUGCCAACUAAGUCAGACGUGAAAUCCCUCAGCUUAACUGGGGAACUGCGUCCGAUACUGGAUGGCUUGAGUUUGGGAGAGGGAUGCGGAAUUCCAGGUGUAGCGGUGAAAUGCGUAGAUAUCUGGAGGAACACCGGUGGCGAAGGCGGCAUCCUGGACCAACACUGACACUGAGGAGCGAAAGCCAGGGGAGCAAACGGG
rnacentral:rRNA from 1 species